AUGGAGGAGACCGUACAUGGCCAGCAGUGCCUGCACCUCCGCAUCAGUCCACUUUUCCGAGUUCCGCAUUCCGUCCAUUCUCGAAGUGUGAAGUGUGAACAGUUGACACAGCCAGCCUCUGUGACUGUGCAGCCAGGUCAACAUCUGACCAUCACCUGUCAGGUCUCUUAUUGUGUUGGUAGCUAUCGCACAGCUUGGAUCAGACAGCCUGCAGGGAAAGGACUGGAGUGGAUUGGAAGUGGACGUGUUGGAUACACAACGUACUACAAAGAUUCACUGAAGAACAAGUUCAGUAUCAGCUUUGACUCUUCCAGCAACACAGUGACUCUAAAUGGACAGAAUGUGCAGCCUGAAGACACUGCUGUGUAUAACUGUGCCAGAGAGCCACAGUAA